rnacentral:lncRNA from 1 species
AGCUCGAGGAAGGCAUUUCUACAGCUUGUGCCUAAAACACAAUGCCUGGAGUAACAGCUUGAAUGUUUCUGGACUCAAGGAAUUUCAGAAGUAGACCGACAGGGAGGCAAGAUAGUUUCUCACUGCCUGUUCUAUCACCAUGGAUGGCAUUAUCUCAGCGUGGGCUACUGAACGCUGGUGAUAUCUAGGCAGAAUCCAGGAACUCAGUAAGUCGAGGAACAGAGGCCUCUCACGAGGGAAGACAGUAUCGUUUUAUACUUGUGGAAAUGGCCACAAUCCUAUUCAUCUUACAGUUAUGGAGGACAGCCAUCCACAACAGCUUUCCUGGGUUUAACAUGAAGAGAAGUUUUGCUUCAAGUCUUUCGUGGAAACCUCCAUGGAAAGGUUGUUUGUAGCAAGCUCACUGCUCUCAGGGAUCCUGCUUUGAUGGAUUAUAAAUAGAGAAGGCAUAUAAUGGAACUACUGUCCCUGCAUGGACAAAAGGGACUGGUUUACAGGUGAGAAAUUCAGAAGACAGGAGAGCAUCCCUGAGGACACCUGGCACAGAGUAGGCAUUCAAGAAACACACGUGGAAGGAAUUCUGAUAACCGCAAUGACUAUCAUCCCAGUGUAUGUCAAAAGAAUGUGCUGAUACUGGUAUUAUUACUUUGGUUAAUACUAGUGUUCAUGGAAUUGUUACAGACAGGUCAAGAUUGUUAUUAUUGUUCUUGUCUUCUACUUUCUUAGAAUUAAAAAACACCUAUCCAUUGUCAUCAGAAUCUUUUGUCUAUGACAAACUUUCAAGUUAGGCAACUAGCCAUUUUCCCAUUUCAGCCUCCAAAAGACUGAUUUAGUCUUGGAAUUAGUUUUCAGAAAUCGUUAAUUUGUCAGAGUAAGGCAAUUUAAUAUCAUUUUUGAGAGAAGUAAAUGUCUUUUCUCCACGGCCAUGUCCUUUCUAUCUGUUUGCUUCUCAUGUCACUAGAUCAAGACAUUAGAAGUUCAUCCAUUCAAGAAGCUCUCGGGAUACUUUAAGGACAUGUUAUGAAAACCAAGAAGAGUGGGGGCAAAAAAAGGAGAUGUAAAUAUAAAUUCUUUGAGGCAUCUAAUUUACUUCAAAAUUUUACUGUAGAUUUCAUAUUUGUGACAUAGUAUAGACAGAAAAAUAUGGAUAUUUGUCCACAGCCUUAUUGAUAGUUUAUAUUUACUGACCUCAAGAAGUAUAAUCUAUACAUUGAUUUUUUUUUAUCUUUAGAAUGUAAAAAGUUUGAAACUUUCAAAGAAGAAGUUACAUGAUUUACUCACAAAAAAGUCACAUCAAUGUUUCAUCUUUAUCAAGCCUGAUGAAGGUCUAUUAUUCCAAUGACCUCUGGGGUACCGAGAGAAUUAAUGUACUGUAGCACAUGUGCUAUAAACUCGGCUUGGGAAGUACAACUAUGUUAAAGAUUGACUCACUUAUCUCUAUAGUUCAAGAAAUUUAGCCAUGUUGAUGAUCAUUUUAGUCAAAGUUGUUACUAUUGAUGAAAUAUGUAUUUGAAUCAUUGUUAAAUGUGCACAAUUUAUGUGCACUGGUGUCCAAUUUAAGGUUACCAUACUUAUGCAACAGGUUAUUUCUUUUUACUGUAUCUUCAGUACUAAUCUGAACAAAAAGAUCUGCAUCUUCCUUAAUUUUUCAUUAAAUAUCCUGACCCCAAACUAAAAUAAAAUGUUAUGCUUG